AUGGUGGAAGUCGGAGUCUUGCUCAAGCCGCGCGACGGGGUGGAGCUGGAGCUGGGGCUGGUCGGCGCCUGCCCGCUGGUGGAAGGGGAUGAUGUCGAGGGACUCGACCUCGUCGCCGACGAAGUUGUAGCCGUAGAGGAGGGGGAGGGCGGGCUGGAGGGCGUGGUGGGCGAGGAGGAAUUGGCGGGUGGAGGUGGCGCUGCGCCAUGCGCGGCAGACGGCGCGGCAGCGGAGGAGCGAUUUGGGGGGCAGACGGACGAGGAUCUCCCAGAUGGUGAUCUCGUCUGGGAGGCUGCCGCCGGGAGGCGGCGCCGUUGCUCCUCUCGCGGCGUCCGCCAUGGUCGCCGGCGGCAAGCAAGAGAGGUGAGUGGUGGACUGCUUGUGGCAGUGCGUGACGGCGGCGUUUAG
rnacentral:rRNA from 1 species